rnacentral:rRNA from 1 species
AUUGAACGCUGGCGGCAUACUUUACACAUGCAAGUCGAACGGCAGCGGGGUAGUGCUUGCACUACUGCCGGCGAGUGGCGAACGGGUGAGUAAUAUAUCGGAACGUACCGAGUAAUGGGGGAUAACCAAUCGAAAGAUUGGCUAAUACCGCAUACGUCCUGAGGGAGAAAGCGGGGGAUCGCAAGACCUCGCGUUAUUCGAGCGGCCGAUAACUGAUUAGCUAGUUGGUGGGGUAAAGGCCUACCAAGGCGACGAUCAGUAGCGGGUCUGAGAGGACGAUCCGCCACACUGGGACUGAGACACGGCCCAGACUCCUACGGGAGGCAGCAGUGGGGAAUUUUGGACAAUGGGGGCAACCCUGAUCCAGCCAUGCCGCGUGUAUGAAGAAGGCCUUCGGGUUGUAAAGUACUUUUGUUAGGGAAGAAAAGGGAAGUGCUAAUACCACUUUUUGCUGACGGUACCUAAAGAAUAAGCACCGGCUAACUACGUG